UACAGAGGUCCCAAGCGUUGUUCGGAUUCAUUGGGCGUAAAGGGUGCGUAGGCGGCGCGGUAAGUCGGGUGUGAAAUCUCGGAGCUUAACUCCGAAACUGCAUUCGAUACUGCCGUGCUUGAGGACUGGAGAGGAGACUGGAAUUUACGGUGUAGCGGUGAAAUGCGUAGAUAUCGUAAGGAAGACCAGUGGCGAAGGCGGGGUCUCUGGACAGUUCCUGACACUGAGACACGAAGGCCAGGGGAGCAAACGGGG
rnacentral:rRNA from 1 species